rnacentral:lncRNA from 1 species
GGGUGUCAUAUCGGCAUUCAUACUUCAUAAUUUUAUAUCGUCAUUUAAAUGAUGAAUCCACUGGUCAAUUCACCGAUUGGAUAGGUUUAUUGUUGUUAAACAUUAUGGUGUAUUUGUGUACAUUAAUAAGGAGCUUUAUAAACAGGCAGACAAUUGAAGCUUUGCUGUCCAUACAUUUUCACGUUCAGUCGUUUCAAUUCCAAAC